ACCUACGGGGCGCAGCAGUUGGGAAUAUUGGACAAUGGAGGAAACUCUGAUCCAGUGACGCCGCGUGAAGGAAGAAGGUCUUCGGAUUGUAAACUUAUUUUGUCAGGGAAGAAAAAAAUGACUGUACCUGAAGAAAAAGCACCGGCUAACUACGUGCCAGCAGCCGCGGUAAUACGUAGGGUGCAAGCGUUAUCCGGAUUUAUUGGGUUUAAAGGGUGCGCAGGCGGAAGAUCAAGUCAGCGGUAAAAUUGAGAGGCUCAACCUCUUCGAGCCGUUGAAACUGGUUUUCUUGAGUGAGCGAGAAG
rnacentral:rRNA from 1 species